rnacentral:rRNA from 1 species
AUGCAAGUCGAACGAGAAUCUACGGAUCGAGGAUUCGUCCAAGUGAAGUAGAGGACAGUGGCGGACGGGUGAGUAACGCGUGAGGAACCUGCCUUUCAGAGGGGGACAACAGUUGGAAACGACUGCUAAUACCGCAUGACACAUUGGGGUCGCAUGGCCCUGAUGUCAAAGAUUUAUCGCUGAAAGAUGGCCUCGCGUCUGAUUAGCUAGUUGGUGAGGUAACGGCCCACCAAGGCGACGAUCAGUAGCCGGACUGAGAGGUUGACCGGCCACAUUGGGACUGAGAUACGGCCCAGACUCCUACGGGAGGCAGCAGUGGGGAAUAUUGGGCAAUGGGCGCAAGCCUGACCCAGCAACGCCGCGUGAAGGAAGAAGGCUUUCGGGUUGUAAACUUCUUUUGUCAGGGACGAGUAGAAGACGGUACCUGACGAAUAAGCCACGGCUAACUACGUGCCAGCAGCCGCGGUAAUACGUAGGUGGCAAGCGUUGUCCGGAUUUACUGGGUGUAAAGGGCGUGUAGCCGGGAAGGCAAGUCAGAUGUGAAAUCCACGGGCUCAACUCGUGAACUGCAUUUGAAACUGUUUUUCUUGAGUAUCGGAGAGGCAAUCGGAAUUCCUAGUGUAGCGGUGAAAUGCGUAGAUAUUAGGAGGAACACCAGUGGCGAAGGC